GUGAAAGUCCGGUAUUGCAGACGGAUAAUGUUGCGUGAUUCAGCCAGGGGUGCAUUUCUUGAAAGCGUCGUUAGUCAGCUACGGUUGUUUGUCCCAUUGAACUCUAUUGAUAACGACAGAACUUGCGACCAUAGUUCGCUUUGGGAAAUGCACCCCUGUCCGACAAUCGCUCUUUUCUCUUUGGCAACAUUAUUCACUGCCUCUAUCGAUGCUGAUGGAUCAAAGAUCGAGGCAAACCAUGGAGAAGAUGUUACACUGUCCUUCCCAAUGGAUAAAGCAGAGGAAGCUGAUAGAUUGAGGAUAAUGUUUACAUCAGAAUCUACGAAUGAGACUCGUUUGAUCGCACUGCGCUGUUCCGGUUCUGAAAUCUGUGAUCUUGUGAAAACACCUGGAGUCAAACUGAUGGUUGAAGGAGGAUUCGUGAAUGUAACAAUUCAGAAAGUGAACAGCUCCAGAUCAGGACUCUAUAAAGCAGAACCUGUUGGAGAGCACAUAGGCAUACCUGAUGUGACUCCUAUUACACUUGUUGUCAAAGCACCAUUUACCUCCACUACAGCUCCUCCACACUCCUCCACCCCAAAACCUCCCGACUCCUCUCACCUCCUCUGGCUGUGUGCUUUAAUUCCUCUAGUCAUUGUCAUCUCAGGGGUCGUUUGCUUCUGGAAACGCAGGAGG